rnacentral:rRNA from 1 species
AUGGCUGCGAGGCACGAGCAGUGGAUGGGCAAGUAUGGCCGCGUGUACACUGACGCCGCCGAGAAAGCACGGCGGCUGGAGGUGUUCAAGGCCAACGUCGCGUUCAUCAAGUCCGCCAACGCCGGGAACAGCAAGUUCUGGCUGGAGGCCAACCAGUUCGCUGAUAUCACCGAGGACGAGUUCAGGGCUACCCACAAAGGAUACAAGCCAGUUGCUGCUGACAAGGGCCGGAGCGCUGGGUUCAGGUACAAUGACCUCCCAGCCAAAAACGAUGGUAGCAUCCCGGCGAACCCCACCACAUGCUUCGGGUCACCGGUUCAGCUUUGUACCUAUGCGCACACAGACACCGUGAUAGAG